GGGACCGUACGCGUUUUCGGAGUGGAGGUGCUGCGCGGUGUCCAGGAAGCUUCCUCCUGCAUUAGGAGGUCUAUACAUGCUGUUAUCUUUGCUGGACUCUCCUCCCAUCUCUUCAUCUAGGGGACAUGGGUUCGAGCCCUGGUCUGGGAAGAUCCCACAUGCCGGGGAGCAACUAAGCCGUGCACUACAGCUACUGAGUCUGCUCUCUAGAGCCUGUGAGCCACAACUACUGAGCCCACAUGCUGCAACUACUGAAGCCCACAUGCCUAGAGCCCGUGUUCCCCAACAAGAGAAGCCACCGCAAUGACAAGCCUGCGCACCGCAACGGAGUAGCCCCUGCUCGCCGCAACUAGAGAAAGCCUGCGCACAGCAACAAAGACCCAACGCAGCCAAAAAUAAAUAAAUAAAUAAAUA